CGUGCACUGCAGCAGCACCGGGACUUGACAGCCCUACGGCUCGAUCAGCUUUCUGUUUUCAUUGCCUUACGAUGCCAUGAGUGGAACUAUUGUCAAAUCAGAGUUCACUCCCCAGCUUUUCAGUCUUUCCCCUAAUUCUUGCUCUAUCAGAGGUCGAGGACAACAGUAUAAUGAUUCAUAGGUUCUACUUCCUGGCAAGUAAUCAUUUUCCCACGGGCCCUUGUGAAUUGAUGAAUAUGAAGACACUAAGAAAGCAGAAAUAGAACUGAGAAGAAUGAAAUAACUGUCUCUACCUUUCUCGAAUUGUCUAAUAUGGAAAGAAUGAAAGACAGCUAAUAAGCAACUCUCUGCAAGAAGACAUAUGGCUUAGGUUCUGCUGAGCUAUUGGUGAUUUGAUUCCAUGCAUAUGUAUUCACUACUGAAUCUACUUGGAGAGAGUCAAACACAGAAUCCCUUUGAAUUUAAUGGCCAUUCCAGGUGAUUUGAACAGCCAAAUAAGAAACAGGUCCUCUUCAAUGUACAAUCUGCCAAGUAUGAAGUCUGAAUGACCAUCAUUAUUAUGUAUUUAAUGUGCAUAGAAAAUCUAUCUGCAACCUUCCAGAGUGUACCAGAAGUUUGGAAUGUACAUUAUUAUUGGCUCCAUCUCAAACCACUCAUAAAUCAAAGAAAAUAGCAGUUCCAGAGGAAUCAUCAUAGAGGCUUCUAGGCCCCCAUGCUGUGUGAACCUGGUGAGAAAGGGAAGUCUGCUCUCACUGGACACUGGAACUGUUUGUCUCUGUCUCUGCUGUACUUUCCCUGCCUCUACCUCACUUAGUAAAGAAAUCAUCUUUGCUUGAUAACUAAAACAACCAAUAAGGCUGAGAAAGGGGAAAACCCACAUCUGGAUUUAAAUACAAGGUAUUGGGCCAGCUGCUGGGGAUUAAACUUUGAACAAAACAGAUAGAAUCUAUGUCCUCAUGGGAGUGGCUAAUGGGAGAGUCGGAACAAAAAAAUAGCCAAGGAUAAUCCAGCAAAUGAUUUGGUGAAUGCUAUCAAAGAGAGAAAUACACAUGCUCUGGGAACACCAAACAGAGUCUUGCUCUUGUUGCCCAGGCUGGAGUAUGAUGGUGCGAUCUCAGUUCACUGCAACCCCUGCCUCCCAGGUUCAAGUGAUUCUCCUACCUCAGCCUCCUGAGUAGCAGGGAUUAUAGGUACAAGCCACCACACCCGGCUAAUUUUUAUAUUUUUAGUAGAGACGGGGUUUCACCACAUUGGCCAGGCUGGUCUCGAACUCCUGACCUCAGGUAAUCUGCCCCUCGGCCUCCCAAAAUGCUGGGAUUAACAGGCAUGAGCCACAGCACCUGGCUGACUUUGCCUGUUUUAUAAUUUCACACAAUAAAAUCAUGCACUGUGCAUUUCUUUGUAUUGUCUCCUUUCACUCAGCAUAAUGUCUGUGUGAUUCAACCCUGUGGUGAUGUGUCAUUUUUUUAAAAAAAAUUAAGAUAUUUUAUUAUAUGAACAUACCAUAAUUUGUUUAUUCAUUUGGUGAACAUUGUGUUGAUGCCAGGUUUGGG
rnacentral:lncRNA from 1 species